ACGAAAAAAACCACGAGCGAGGCCUGCGGGGUGCCCUCGAGCGAGAACCACGCUAGCCGCCCUCGCACUCCAUCCCUUCUCCGCCGCCCUCGCGCUCGCAUCAAGGAUCGAGGCCUCAGAGUGCCCUCGAUCCCUGCACUACCUCCGUUCCGCGCCGCCGAUCCGUUCCCCGCCACCGAUCCCUUCGCCGCCGCCGAUAUCGUCGCUACGAUCCCCUUCAGGAGCCGCCGCCGAUCCCCUUCAGGAGUCGCCGCCGAUCCCCUUGAGGAGCCGCAGCCGAUCCCUUCGCCUGCCCGGCUAGGGUUCCCAUCCGUGUCCUCGCCCUUGCACCAUUACCAUCGCCUCGUUGCGGCGGUCCUCGUUGCUUCCCGAUCCAUCCGAGAUCCAUCCAAGCUGCCGGCGAACGCUUCCUGUGUGCAGAGCACAUAGUAGUUCUCAAAGGUCGCAUGACUCAGCAGCAAUGGACGCCUUAUCUGCUUGGGAAUGUGGCCGCACCAGAUUGGUAUCUUCUCUUCUGAAAUCCAAUAGCUGUUGUCCAAUUGUUUGCUGAUACGCUUGACUGAAUUUGCAAAGAGUUAUUAAGUCUUUAUUUGCGACUGAGUUUCUCAUAUUCUGAUUGAUGUGACUAAAAAGUAUUUUGUUGGACGGCAACUCUAAGCUGCAUGUUCAUUUGGAGAAGCAUGAUGAAUAUUCGAUGGACACUGUCAAAGAUGAAAAGGAGAAUUCUUCUAUUCUCCUGGCUGUCAGGGAUUUUGUACUUCCAGCAGGUUUUCCAGCUGAAUGUUGGCAUCCCGGUGUGGUUUGAUUAUGCAUCUAUGCAUUGCUUUUGCUAUUUGUCAUGGAGUAUGAACUGUGGAGGUUCAGGUUUAGUAUCUUGGAAAUGCAGUGAUUGAUGUGUUUUCUAAUUGUAAUGCAGUAAACAAACUGUUCUGCAAGUUUUGUACUUUAUUUUCUAGUACUGUUAAAUGUAGAGCUUGAUUUUGUAUAUGUAUUUCCCUCAGAUUCUUGAAGGUUCCUGCAUAAGAGGUCAUUGUUCCACAUUCUCUGUUGUCUCUCUUUAUAUUCCAGAAUCUGUUUCAGAUGAUUAUCUGCAGUACAUGCUAUUGGAAUUGCGAACAAAUGUGACAUGAUGGAUCUGUCACAUGUUCGUUACAUCAAGUCUUCUGAAGGUCCAGUCCAGCCGAGAAACAUAUACUCCAGUCCAACAUAUAUAGUCCAGUCACAUGCUUUAACGUGAUUUCACGAGCGGCAACUAGGCCAGCAACGGUGUGUCCGUAAAGAACGACAGCUAAAGGAAACCAAUCAGCUGUAGAGAAGUGGAGCAACAUUAGAGCAUGAGAAUGAGAUAGACUUUUCAGUGACAGGCAACCAUUGUGCUGUAGAGAAGUGGAGCAACAUUCAUGUCCUAGAGGGAUAAAGACACAUACAAUUACAAUGGAGGUGACAUGCCUGAAAAUGUGAGAAUUGAAGCAAUAUAUUCCCUGCUCUCUCCUUUUUUAAUCUUGAAGCCAGUAGGAGAGGCUCCUAAUGACAUGUAUACAUUACUAACAAGAAUAUGGGAGCUUUCAUAACUUGAGGUACCUUCCAUCUUCUUGUUGUGUAUUUAAUUUUCUUAGUUGAAAAUCUUACACCAAUAAGUGGGGUCUCUCUGAAAAUUGUCCUUGUUAUUCUCCUUUUCAUUCUUUGGGCUUUGUUUCUCAAUAUAUGCUUCCACUAAAAAAAGUGGAUCCGCCCCAUGUCGCCCCAGCGUCGGACAACUUAGGUGAAUCCACCCCCCCCACCCGGCCUCCGGGGUCGCCAUCUCCUCUCUCCCUUCCCACCAUCACCAUCGGGCUAAGGCCGGGCGGCCGACGGUGAUGGCGGAGGCUCCUCCCUUCGAUGCGUCGGUGGGUUGCGCAUAAUCUCCUGGCACGUGGAGUGUCGCCAAAACCUACUCCAGGGCGGCGACGCCCUCGGCUGGCGGUGCUCAUAAGUGGUGGAUGGACGGCGGCUUGACCGCGUGGGCGGUGAGUCGCCGAUGGAUCUCCCCACUGCAGCCUCUCUCCCGCUACACUCGGUGGCUUGCGGUCUUGGUAGCCGGCUCAGUGUGUUUGCAGGGGGCUUGUAGAAGUGGUUCGGACCGGAGGAAACUCUGGAUGGCUCGCUCAUCCCGACGGUGGCGACGACCAAGGUCGCCGCUCUCCUCCUUGCAGGCGCCGUUGAGGUCCCCCCCUCCACCCGACUCCAUGCCGGGCUAAAGACCCAAAAUCUCCUUUGAUUGGGCGGCGACACUGUGUGGCAUUUGGCACGUUGACAACGGCGGGUCUCUUCGGCAGCCGAUCCCUUCGCCUGCCCGGCUAGGGUUCCCAUCCGUGUCCUCGCCCUUGCGCCAUUACCAUUGCCUCGUUGCGGCGGCCCCCGUUAAUCACCACCAUCAGCAAAUCCCAACACAUGCCGAAGCCGUCCAGCACCAACCUGCGCUCCUUCCUAGAUCCAUGACGGAGACCACAGUCUAGAGGGAUCCACGAUCGCGACAAUGAAAAUGGCACCCAAGUCGUGCACCCGUGCCCACUCCAAGCCUUUCCUCUGGAUGCGACACACAGGAUCGGCGGAGCACCACCGAGCGUAGCACCGACCACGACCUCCAUUUUUCUUUGUGGUCUAGAGAAAAUAUUUUGCCAGAGCUCUCCUAGCGCGUCCACUUUCUUCCGUGGCCAGCAGCAUCGACAAAAAAUCUCGGCACUUAGGGUGAGAUAGACAAGCAUGAUUUUCCUUUUUGUGAUGAUAUUUGCAUUCCAGGAGUAGUUCUUGCUUCAUGAGAUUUUGCUUAUGUUUAUUUUCAGAUUUCAGGACUGACCUAGAGGAAAUGAUUAGUACUUUGAGCCGAUCGUGAACCUGUGGUAGUUGAUAUGCGUGAUUGUUCUGCUCUGCUUAUCAACUAGCGAUGCCUUGAUUUUAAUGUGGCCCCUAACUUAUGAACUCUUAGUCUGGAAACUACAGUUAUUUAGCGGUUAAUUAUAACUUUUAAGAAUGGUUACCUUGA